UACGGAGGGUGCGAGCGUUAUCCGGAAUCACUGGGUUUAAAGGGUGCGUAGGCGGCGAGGUAAGUCAGUUGUGAAAUUCCCCGGCUCAACCGGAGGGACUGCGAUUGAUACUGCUUUGCUUGAAACAGGUUGAGGUAAGCGGAAUGUGGCAUGUAGCGGUGAAAUGCAUAGAUAUGCCAUAGAACACCGAUUGCGAAGGCAGCUUGCUGGGCCUGAUUUGACGCUGAGGCACGAAAGCGUGGGGAGCAAACAGG
rnacentral:rRNA from 2 species